GACCGGGGAAGACAAAAGAAGGACGGUCGAUUUCGAAGCGACUCAAAGUCGAGAUCCAGUAGGUCUCGAGUACCUCAGAACAAGGGAGCGAAGUGCUGGAACUGCGGAAAGACGGGGCACUUUAGGAGGGACUACAAAUCUCCUAAAGGGAAGCAAGGCGACCACACCGAAGGAGUCAGCAAGGAUCUGGCAAAUCUUGCUGAAGACGGUG
rnacentral:lncRNA from 1 species